AACUGCUGCUUUUGUCACAUGGCUUUUAGAGGAAGACGCAACUCAGACAAUUUGCAUCAUGUUACUCCGGCAAUCAUUUUUCCAAUGCGUUUACUACAUCUUUGAAUGAAAUCCAUCUGUUCACACUCAGUUUGUUCCUCUGUAUCACGGUUUGAGAAUCAACGGAACGUAACAGUCAUUCGAAGGCUGAAAUCUUGGGGCUUCAGUUUCAUGAUGCACUAUUCCUUUGAUGUAAAUAACCAUUCCCAGAGGAAAAUAUAACUUCUUGAACUUCCAGGGUAAAAUGACAAUCCUGCAUGAAUGGAGAAGGGAGACAACAAUGUUGGAAAUAUUGCCUGGAACACAAAACUGAACGCUGAACCAUUUUAAUCUUAGUUGUCUGAGAAGAACAAAUGACUAAAAUAUUCCAGCUAGUUUGUUACUACAAUGAGGAAUUUAUAACCUUCCAUGCAGGUUUUACCUUUCAUCGCAAUUUAACAGAUUACUUCAAAGUGGAGAUGGCAGGAGUUUGUUGAAACUUGCAUCACAUUGAUUUUAUUGUGACAGCAAACAAAAUAUUUAUAGGCUCCAAUGACAGAAAGCUGUUCAGUUUGUACCUGCAAAUAUAUAUGGGUAAAACUGUUGCACAUUCUGUAGCUUAUCUCCAAUUUUGGUGUAAUUUCCAUUGACUUGAACUUUGUUGAGUCCAUUUCCACACAGAAGUGUUGAUUUUUCUCGAACUGUUGCACUCGUUCUUGGGACUCAAAGGGCAGCCUGUUUCAUUUUUCAUCCUUAAUUUUUUGCAUAUCUUUCACUCAUUUAUUCUACACCUCUCUACGUCACUGUGUAUAUCUCUCGUUUCCCUUUGCCCUGACUAGUCAGAAGAAAAGUCUCAACCCAAAAUGUCACCCAUUCCUUCUCUCCAUAGAUGCUGCCUGUCCCGCUGAAUUACUCCAGAAUUUUGUGUCUAUCAUCGGUUUAAACCAGCAUCUGCAGUUCCUUCCUACACAUUUAGACUGAUUUAAAUGUAUUUUUCUAAUAAUCUCCUCUGGUAAUCUCAAGUAGUUCUGAGAUUUACUCAAAGAUUUUUUUUUAAUUUAAUUGCACAGAGACCUAUGCCCUUAAAUCACAUCCCUAUCUAUCGAUAUUUUUGGUGGAGUUUAACUUUGGUUUUAAAAUAACUCAAUAGCAUUUAAAGUCUCUUUUGGUCAUAAUUCUAACUAUUUAAACUAAUGAUGCAGCAAUGCUUAGAUCCAAUUAAAUGGAAGUGCAAGUGUUGGAAAGUUGAAUAUAGAUUUUUCCUUGAUAUGUUUACAUCUCACAAAAAGAAUAUAUAAAGCGUGUUACAAAAGUGUCUAAACACUUUACAAUCUGGUUACGCUAAAUGCAUAGCCUAUUAAAAAAAAUGGAAAAAAGCACGAUCUAUGAUGCAAUUAUUGAUUUGCUACCGUUGUUGGAAGAAAGUGUUCUGUUCAGCUGCAUAAACACGAUAUUUUCAAAUUGUAGACUUAACAUAAUGCAACAUUACGGGUUGAGGCAUACUUACAAACCAUAGUUAUAAAUUUUUCAGAUUAAAACAAUAAUUUCUCGCCUGUACACAAGAAUGCCUAACAAAAUAAAGCACUCCAUUUGCAACAGUUUAUGUGUUUUAAGAACCUGCUGCGAAGCUCUCAAGUGCAAUGAUAAAUGCAGCAUCACCGAUUCUGUGCAACAUUUUUUUGUUUCAAGGAAAAUAAGCACUCCAUCACUCAGUUGUGUUCAUUCUGUUAUUCUUUGCCCAAACAUUAUAGAUCAGCACACGCACUGUGGAGCAUUCGCACAUAAAUAAGAUAUGCAUAUUUACUGCAAGAGUUUUUAUGUUUUUUCAAAAGGCAUAAAUAGCAAAUAGAUGCUGCAGAAUAUGUUUAUUGUAUCUCUUCCCCUCCUCACAUGAUUGAACUUUAGAAUAUAGAUUUAACAAAUUCUUCCAUGUGGAUAUCUACACUUUGCUAAUCCCUGUGGGGACUGAACAAGAUACACCUAACAGAAUUUCAGAUCCAGGGACUGCUAAGCAUUUUAUAAAGGCGAGUUUUCAAGUUUUAGACAUUCCUGAAGUAUAUCCUAUCUAAUCUGCAUACCCAGUGGAUCCAUUUUAAGAUAAUUGUGAUAGAAACAUUUGCGAAAGACUUAGCAGAUAAUUAAGCAAUCGCAUGUUGUAACUUUUUUUUAACUUUGAAGUGGGUCAGUCAGCUAAUCGUAGAAUGGAUAAUCACUGCACCCAGGCACCAUUUAGAAACUGCCACACAUUACCCACAAUAAAUAAUGUCCUUGAAAACAAAAUGCUGUCAUUUAGAUGCACACGUUCUCACAAACAGAGCCCAAAGUCUAGAAAAUAUACAACUUAUCCCUUUGAUGAUCGUCACUGCCUGAAACUCACAAGAUUUUACCAUUAUCAGUCAAAAGCAGCUAAUAUAAAUGAAUAAUUGCAAAAACUAUUUCCUUUAAUAAUUGCAGGACUCUAAACAUUAAAUAGCAUGCUCUGAAGUUGAUUGCAAGAAUAUUUUUUCAAAAGAAUGUGCAAGUCAUGAUAAAAUUAAAAACAAAGUCACUGAAGCAAACAAAUUUGAAUGAGCAUACCUUUGCCAUUAUAAAUAUAUUAUUUUCAAUAAUGACUAUAAUGUUGCUGUAAACCAUAAUAUAUAUCUUAAUAUAUUACACUUCCUUGUCUUGUCACUUCCUGGCAGAAAAAUACUAAAAACACUGGGAAAAAUCUUUGAGCAGAUAUCCCUUUCGGAGGAUAGAUACAAAAUACUGGAGUAACUCAACGGGCCAGACAGCAUCUGUGGAGAGAAGGAAUGGGUGACGUUUCGGUUUGAGACCCUUCUUGUGACUGGAGCUGGUGUGAACAGAGGAAAACUGCAACAAUGAACGAUGAGCAGCAAACAAAAUAAAAGUCACAGAGAUGUAUCAAAACGUUCUUGGGCAAAAGGAAAUCUGUCCAGGACCAACCUUGCCUCUGUGUGUCUGACCCCAUGUCAUUGUCCUGAACUACAUUAGUCACAGCUCCAUCCAGUUUUAAAGUAGGCUAUAAACACCAGUGUGGGAGAUACUAAUUGUAGAUACUGCAAACUGCAGGUGCUGCAACCUUGAUUAAAACAUAGUUCUGGAGGAAUUCAGCAGGUCAGGCAACAUUUGUGGAAGGAAUGGAUAGGCAAUAUGUCAGGUCAGAAUUGUGUACUAAUGUUUUUUUUUGCAGUUAUGUUCUUUACAUUGCCUUGUAGAAUAUAUGUGCCAUUUAUGUUUUUGUAUAUUGACUGAGUUUAUGUGCCUGUGAUGUUGCAACUGCACUGAAAUGCACCUAUCCUUUUUUUACCAGAAAUGUUGCCUGACCCGCUGAGUUACUCCAACACAUGGUGUCUAUCCUUGGUAUAAACCAGCAUCCGCAGUUCUUUGUUUCAACAUUUUCUUUCUGAAGGAUUAGGAGUAGGUCAGAAAUAAUUUUCAUACGUUGAAGGAAGCAUUCUUUCAGGCAGUUAUAAAGAGUCUUGAUAAACAAGGGUGAGUUGAUAGGAAUGUGAAAAGAGAUUACAAUCAGAGCAGCCACAAUCUUAUUAAGAGGCAGAACAUGCUUCAAGUGCUAAAAGGCAUGUUCCUGAAUCUCAUUCUUGCAUGCAUAUGUUGGUAUAUGGCCAUUUGCCCAUUCCAUCAGUCACCUCCUGCCCUGUCAGUGGGUGAUCUGCAGUUCCCACACUGUCCUCAUCAGUCAUCUCAGGACCAGAAUAGAAGUAGGUCACCCUCAAUGCUGAGGAACCAGCAAAGGAGGAGGAGGAGCCUGAAGUCAUCAAUCAGACAAAAAUGAGCUAUGAACAAUAUUACAAUCUGAAAGUGUAGUUAACGUCAAGAUUCUGCUGAUGCUUACAAAAGACUCAUUCCCUUCAAACUACUUCUAUACAUGCACAUUAAUUUUGCCCCAUAGCCCCGCAAUUGGCAAUACAUACCACAGACAAAGUGUAGCCAUUUCCUAACAACUCUCAGUAACUUAUUUUUGACCUGACCCCACCCUAUCACAGAUAUUCCCCCUCCCCUGCUCACUCCCGUCACCUUCUCUGCAACUUAAAACCAUCUCUCUCUUUCUCCCAUUUCUGAUAAAGGGUCUCUGAUCUUAAAAAUUAACUCUGCCACAUAGGAAGGAACUGCAGAUGCUGGUUUAAAUGGAAGAUAGACUCAAAAAGCUGGAGUAACUCAGCGGGUCAGACAGCACCUCUGGGGGAAAGGAAUAGAUGAUGUUUUAGGUCGAGACCCUUCUUCAGACUCUGCUACCCUCUCCACAAAUGCUGCCUGGCCUAAAGUGUGUCCAGAAUUAUCCAUUUUUAUUUCUGAUUUAUAGCACCUGCAAUUUUCUGCUGAUAAUUAAUCUAGCAUGAAUUCCACUACAGGGAAAGAUUGACUGGAAAGACACAGGAGAUAUGUUGAUCUCAAAGACUCCUUGAAAAAAAUAAGAUCCUCACAGGUUCAUGGGGAACCUCUUAACCAUCAUUGCCUACUGGGGAAGGAACAUUAAUGAAGGCAAGAGGUCCUGGAGUGUAAUCAGGACUGGAUAGAGGGCAAACAGAAGGAAGAAUGCACACAUCUUAAACUACUGAUCACCUACUGUGUCAUGUGGUAGACACAAGGAACUGCAGUUGCUGGGUUUGCUAAGUAGGGUGCAAAGUAACUCAACAGGUCAGGCAGCAUCUCUGGAGAACGAGGACGGGUGACAUUUUGCAUCGGGAUGUUGUCCUUGAAGCUGCAGAGGACUUUUCAAAAUUAGAGUGGACUUAUUUAACCAUAGAAAAAAAAUCCCAUAGCAGUUCCACUGCUGGAAAACAUUCCCCUGAAACAUCUUCCUUGGAUUUGCUGCUUUGCUUAGAAAGCCUCUUAACAAGGCAGCCCAAUUCUCUUGUCCAAGCCUUUUGGCACAAUGUACGUUUCACUGUAUUCAAUUGUGUGUUAAAUUCUUAGUGAUUUAGGGUAGGCCUAUGCAAAAUAGACCGCGAAGGAAAACCUCGCAAGGUUGUGGGUUGCAGCGGUGUUGGUGUCAAGGAUUAUGGCAAGGAUUCUCAAGCCAAGGAUGUCAUUCGACAACUAUUUCAGGGCGAAGUAAUAUACUUUAAUAAAAAAAUAAAAACACGUAAAAAUUUUUUUUUAAUUCUUAGUAAUUUCAUUGUGCAGCACAAUCUCAUUAUGAAUCACAUCACUGAAUUUCAUUCCAGAUCCAGUUGCUCUGGAUGCUUUCAACAUCGAGUCCGUCAGGACAUAGCAAUGCAUCACUAAUGUUCCUCUCGCUAUUUUUACCAUGGCUCCAUUGUGCAAUAAAAUGUCCAUUGCCAUACUUACCCUUUCCACUCUCUACUGACUAAGAUUCAUAUCAAGUGCACAGGGGUAGCACGAUGGCACAGCUGGUAGAACUGCUGCCUCACAGCACCAGAGACACAGAUUCAAUCAAGAGCUCGGGUGCUCUCUGUGUGGAGUCAAUCUUAUCAAUGCACAUAUUCAAAUGUGCUUUAGAUGUCAUUAUGGUCCAAUCCCACUUAGGUGACUCUUUAGGAGACUGCCAGGGACUAGUUUUAAUGCAAUUCACCUACGACAUCUGGCGACAACCUACGGCAACAAAUAUUGUCGCCACUUUCGCAGAAUAUUUUCCAACAUGUUGAAAAAUUUGUGGCAAUCACCUGUAGUCGCUUGAACAUUUGCCUAAGUGGGACAAGCCCAUUACUGUUUCUGCCUCCUUACUGUCUCUGGCAACUCAUUCCAUAUAUUUACCACUGGAGACACAGCGGCAGAGACAUGACACACUCAUUAAAGUGGUGACAGCCUCAAAGCAGCAACUAAUGUUCAAAAUUAAUGAUAAAACAAGCCGAAUGAUUCAGCCUAUUUAGCCAGAGGAUGUUUAAGAACUAAUAAAUUAAAUUUCAAUCUGCUGGGUUUCUUUGAAAGAAGCUAUUUGCCACUCAUCACCUCCUUCUUAUUAUGUUUUUGGCACGUGAAGGAAAACAGGUGAAUACCAAGUAAGACACUACAAGUACAAAUUCUGUCAUACUUAUGAGAUUAAGUGAACUGGUUGCAAAAUGAAUGUUUUACUUCACAGGGAGUCAGCUGAAUGGAAUCUAAGCACGCAUUCACAGGAUCGAGAAAUGCAAAAUGUUGCAGAUCUUGGGAAUCUGAAAUAAAAAGCUGAACAUCCAGGAGAUACUCAGUGGGGACAGAAAAAAAAAGGUUGGCAUUUCCGGUUGAUAACUUUUCAUCACAACUGGGAAAGUGAGAAAACAAAUGGGUCUUAAGUCACAGAGAGGAGAGGGGUAGAGAGAACAAUGGGAAUAUCUGUGACCUUCAAUGGAACACUAUGGAGUUUAGAAGAAUAAGGGGGGACCUCAUUGAAACAUGCAGAAUAGUGAAAGGCUUGGAUAGAGUGGAUGAAGAGAGGAUGUUUCCACUCAUGGGAGAGUCUAGGUCAUAGCCUCAGAAUUAAGGGACGUUCUUUUAGGAAGGUGAUGAGGGGACAUUUCUUUAGUCAAAGGAUGGAAAAUAUGUGGAAUUCUUUGCCACAGAAGGCUGUAGAGACCAAGUAAGGUCCAAGUAUAUUUUUAAGGCAGAGAUGGAUAGAUUUUUGAUUAGUACAGAUGUCAGAGGUUAUGGGGAGGAAGCAGGAGAAUGGGGUUGGAGGGAGAGAUAGAUCAGCCAUGAUUGAAUGGCGGAAUAGAUUUUAUGGGCAAAUGGCCUAAUUCUACUCCUAUCACUUAUGACUAUGGGCCACCUCUUGUAUCAUUAUGGACUGGUUUGUUCUACUAGUUAUUGGUUACAUGAUGAUUUGUUACUGCAUGGUCUACAUUCUUUUAUUUUUAAUGUGGAGCAAUUAUGUGCAACUUGUAUAUAAUAGUUUUUUGCAUGUUUUUAUUUAAGUUUAUGUGCAUGUGAUGCUGCUGCAAGCAAGAUAUUUCAUUGUACCUGGAGCUCAACGACAAUAAGACAAUGAACUUGAACUGGAAUGUGGUAAACAUAGAAACAUAGAAAAUAGGUGCAGAAGUAAGCCAUCAGCCCUUUGAGCCAGCACCGCCAUUCAAUAUGACCAUGGCUUAUCAUCUAAAAUCAGAACCCCGUCCCUCAAGAUUCAAGAGAUUCAAGAGAGUUUAUUGUCAUGUGUCCCUGAUAGGACAAUGAAAUUCUUGCUUUGCUUCAGCACAACAGUACAUAGUAGGCAUGACUCCCUACCCGAAACGUCGCAUAUUCCUUUUCUCCAUAGAUGCUGCCUCACCCGUUGAGUUCCUCCAGCAUUUUUUGUCACCUAUCCAUGUUCCCUAGAGAUGCUGCCUGACCUGUAGUGUUACUCCAGCACUUGCUGUGUUUUUUUUUUUGUAAACCAGCAUCUGCAGUUCCUCGUGUCUACAUUCAGCAAGCUUAUGAGAUUGCCAGGGUUGAGUUUAAUCAACACUGGGAGUUGGUUUCAAUUAUCAUUUGCAAGGGCAACAAUGAGCUGGAUAAUGACUGUACUAAAAACUUUACAGCACAGAUCAUGCAGUUAUCAAGAAAAAUUCCCCCCACUGAUGUUUUCUCCAUCCCAGACUCAGUGGUGCCUUUAAAGCUCAUCUCUCAGAGCCACGUUGUAGUAUCUUAAUAAAAUCAGAAGACAAAAAAUAUACAUAAAGAUAUACUUGAUAAUGCAAGCUAUGUUUGAGUGAAUUUUUGCUGAUAAACCCGGGGGGUGAUGGUAUGAUAUCUUAAAUGCUCAGAUGGACGAUUAUCUUGUAUCAUUCUGACAAGUGUGUGGCACGGUGGCACAGAGGUAGAGUUGUUGCCUUACAGCGCUUGCAGCACUGGAGACCCGGGUUUGAUCCCGAUUACAAGUGCUGUCUGUAUGGAGUUUGCACGGUCUCCCCGUGACCGCGUGGGUUUUCUCCGAUAUCUUCGGUUUCCUCCCACACCCGAAAGACGUACAGACAUGUAGGAUAAUUGGCUUGGUGUAUGUGUUAAUUGUCCCUCGUGUGUGUGGGGUAUUGUUAAUGCACGGGGAUUACUGAUCGAAGCAGACCCGGACUAAACUAAAGUGGGCUUUGUCCGAAUCAUUUACUUGUCACUGGAAAGAAAACGUCCUCGCACCGUGUACUGGAGCAGAGUAGCGUCAACACAGCUUCACUUCCCAGAGCCGGCUGCCUGCAGUUUUAAUCAGAACUUUUUAGUUUAUACAGCCCGAGACUGCAGACAAACUGGCGAGGCACAAUGAGGAAGCUCACAGAUAUCAAAAUUAUCAGUUUGUACUGAACUCAAUAACCCAAACAGCCUCCAUUUCCAUGAGUAGCGUCCUGCCUUUUGUUCUGACAGAGAUAAGAUGUAUAAAUUAUGAGUGGUUGACAAAGAAUACUUCAGUGCCUGAGGCAGCUCAUCAAUCAUUUUCAGUGCGUCGGCAGGUAACUGAUGUAACCCCUGCAGGCUGAUUCCAUUCAGACUUGGAUGCUGGAUGCCGUUGUCCCUCAACGGUAAACAAUCAGUGCUGGCAUGGAAGGAGACGAAUGGCGGAGACCACACAGCGACCAGUGUGUAGAAGGUGGGAAAGACUUGAUGGGACCCUUGCUCUUUUUUUUUUGUAUCAGCCGACUUCAAACAGUCUUCAACGUCAGCAGAUUCCCUCAACUUUUGACAGUCUUUGGCCAAGUUAGGCAGAGGUCAGCUCACACUAAAUAAAAUUGCUGCAGUUACUGACUGUGGAUCAUUCCCCCGCCUGCCCAGCUGGCUUUGUGCCAGGGAGUCACACAUUCAAGUACUCCUUUGCUUUUCAAAUACAAACCUGAAGCAAAUUAGUUUACCCAGUCCAAUUCUGACAUUGUUGAUAGACUGGUCUCUUUACCUUUGUUGCUUGUUCAGUGUAUCUGGGAGAGGGGCGGAGAGGAAUUGCUGGUGUGAACUGACAGGUCGACUAAGCUUUUCAAGUGUCAGGAACUGGCUGGGUUUUACUGAUCAAUGGGUCACCCUGAGAAGAAAGACACAUCUAUGUCGUCCAUGUCAAAGGCUUAAGACCCAGGCAAACCUCUCUGAAGACGCAUAUAUUUUCAUCUUCGCCAUAAUGAAGGGAAGAAAUGUAUUCUCUUUAAAAAAGGAAUGGUUGAUCUGCAGAUGCCCUGUACAUCUGACACAGCCAUUGCAGGAUUAAUUAAACAUCAUGUGCUGUGCUAGUUAACUUAAAAAACUAAACUCCAAUUACACUUUUUCCAA